UCUCAGAUAUCUGCUCCUCAAGAGAGAUUAUAUUCCACAUGGAUUGGAGGCUCCAUCUUGGCUUCACUGGACACAUUUAAGAAAAUGUGGGUUUCGAAGAAAGAAUAUGAGGAAGAUAGUUCCCGGGCAAUCCAUCGAAAAACCUUCUAGCCUGGCAGCAUGCUGGGGUCUCCUUGGAGCGUCAUUCCUAUUCUCGGCUCACUUUCCUGAGUCAGUGUCUGAGGAGCUCCCCACUGGUGUGUAUGUGUAAGGGUAGAUGAGUGCCAGCAUGCCCUGGACUUUCCCGAGGGAAGGGAAGGCUGGGGUUUCGGCUUGACUUUUGAUUGGUUUUGCAGGGGGCAAGUGAGAAAUUGGAAUGAACCUGUGGGCAAGCUCUGUUCCCUUUUCAGCUGGCCCACAGACUUUGUUUUGGGGGUGGGGAGGGGAGUGCAUUUGUGUCGCAGAAGAUGGCAAGUAUGGCUGUGGAGCUGAGCAACUUAGGAUGAAAAUGAGAGUGCGGCAAAGCGGCCAGUGCAUAGGGCUCCCAGUGACUGGUGGAAGAACAUGGGCCACGUUGAAGGUCCAUCAUGGAACUCUAGCACAGCAACUGACUGCGAUCCAGUUCCUCUCAGUUGCUCAGCAGUCGUUUUUUAGAUGGCCAAUUCAUCGCCUCCCCCCUCUACUUUUAGAAUUCUCUUGCACACAAAAGAGGAUAAGCACAUUCCAAGCUGUUACAAACCCAUUUACGGCGGGGUGUGUGUGUGUGAGAGUGUGUGUGUGAGAGAGAGAGAAUCUGUAGUAUGGUGUGUGAGAAUCUGGACCACAACAGGAUGGUUGGAACAGUUAAUUUUAGGAACUAGUUUGUAAUGCAUGGUGUAGAGCAGAAAGACCCUUCCCUUUUUACGCUAGACAGUCCUUGCAUUGGCAUCUGGGGAUGAGACCGUUGUCUGUCAUGCAGCCAAGUGCCCAGGGCCACUCUGCACUGUGGCCUCAUUCUCUUUUCCUUCUGCCAAGCCCCUCCCCUGCCUCAUGUGUGUUCUCACGGUUUACAGUGUUCAUUCUUUCCGAAAGGCCGAGGCUUUAUGCCCACGUCACAAUCCCCGCACAAAGGGGCUAUUCAGCCACGCUUGCUGGGAAGCCCCGUAAUUGCUCUUAGAAUUUAUUUAUUGAAAGCUUUUGGUGGUAACUGAUCUACUAACUGGGCCCAACGUUAGUUUCCCCCAUUUUUAUCUGUCCUACUAUCUACUACACGUCCUGUUUUAACAUGUGCACCAGCACUGGGAAUACCAUACUUGCUUAGUAGCGUUGGGUCAGUCCUGCAACUAUCCCCGCUCCUUAGAGUACCCUGUUAAUUUUGGAGUGGCUGUUUCCAUGAAUGCACCGCAGGAUGAAACAACAAACUCUGCUAGAACACUAGGAGUUGAGUAAGAGGCCUCCAGAGGGAGGCUGUCAUCCCAGAGUUAAUUGUUAAGUCCUUUGACUGCUUCAGUACUGCUACAGAAAUGGAAAAAUCAUCUGCUUUGAAUCGAAUUUUUUAUUCUUUUUUUAAAAUAUACGCAUUUGGUGCUUCUCAUUGUAAAGGGUUAUUUUUGUUGUUUUAAUGCUGCUGCUGAAAACCAAAUAUUUCACAUUCUUGGCCACUUAAGUGUUAGAAGAUGAGACAGCAGGAAACAAUCAUUUUUGUCUCUCUGUAGGCAACUGUUGGAAGAGAAACUUCAAUAGGAAGCGAGAGUGCAGGGACUCAAGAAAUCCAAGGUGGAGGCAAAGUAUUGUCCUGUUUGUUACCACUGAUUGAUUUUGAAUGUGGACCCCUUGUGCUUUAGCUGCAAACUUCAGCUUUGCCCUUCAACUCAUCAGCUUUCUCAGAAAAUGUCAUGAGGAUUAGAAUAGGCCAUUUAGUUUGUUAGGAGCAGCCAGAGUCCCUUCAGUGCUCGAAGCUGCAGUUGUUGUCUGGCCUAAGGUAAGGGAUGGGGACAUCUCAUAACCUCUCCUACACAAUAGAUAGGUAGUUAAAAUGCAAAUUUUGUGUAUUAUGCAACACACACACACACACACACACACACACACCCAGUGUUAAAAAAUCUUCCAAAUAAAAAUGUGAGGUGAUAACUGUGACAGUAUAAGCUUUCCUUGUCCUUCAGUCCCUUCCUAAGACCUUAGGAAGAGUAGCUGAAUUGGAAGUUUUAGGCUUCUCUAUUAGGAUAACAGGCUUACACUUGGAAAGAAAGUGGAUGUAUAUCUGAGCUAAGCAAGAGCUGAGCCACAUCUACCUUUCCUCCAUUCUUUCCAGGACACCCUUCUUCUUCUUUUUGCACCAGUGCUUUCCCUGGGAAAACCUGCUCUUUAGCAACCUGAGUUUGUUUGCUCCGAUUGAGCACUAAAGAGCAGGUUUCUGCAGGGAAAGCUACAGGGUAAAAACCCAAACAGCCAGACACAGAGCUUUUUAAGUUCAGACCUGUGCCUGGAAAGAGUGGGACAAAAGGCAAGUGUGGAUAAUCCCCAAGAGAAGUUGUAGCUGGUGUUUCAAAGACAGACAUAUGCUAAUUAAAGGUGUUUCCCCUCCUGCACCUGCAAAGAGGAUGUGCUUGGGCAGAGCAGUGCCAUUGGUGGGCCCUGAUUAGGAUCUCAGCAGUAUUCUCUUCUCUUUAGUUCCAAGUAACAUGGCCCAUAGGUGAUGUAUCAUGAAGCUUCUCCAAGCAGGAGUGGACAAGACUGCCCAGACAGCAAAUGCUGGGGCAAUGUACAUUUUUGCAGCACGUGAGGACAUAGCCACUGAAAGCUAGCACAGAGCCAUAUUACAAUAUUACAAUGAUCUACUAUAGGUUUUAUCAUCUCAGAUAUCCCUCUUAAGACACAUGCAUGGCCAGGAGACGCCUCUCUCCCCUACUUAAAGCCAGGGCUGGGCACCUGCGGCCUUCCAGAUGUUGCUGACCUUCCAUCAGGCCCUGCCAGCAUGGCCAAGGAUUAAGGAUAACGAGACUUAUCCAGUAACAUCUGGAGGGCCAAAGGUUUUCCUUCUCUGCUCCAGACAGUAGCAGUUGUGUUAAUACAUCUUCACUGAACCAAGCCCUGUAGGUUUUUCAAUUGGAGUAAAAUGACUUUUCUCCUAGAAUGAGCCUAGCAGCUAAUGGUUUUGAAUGGAGUCCAGAUCCUGUUUUAAUAAGCUACACCCGAAUGUAAAGGUUUGCUGCAUCCCUGAGUGAGGCCUUGAAACCGGUCUUCUCUGGCACUUCCUAUUCAACUUAGUUGCUUGGGUUUUCAGCCUGGGUUCAAGCAAACAUGCUUUUGCUAUCGGGGAGAUGAAGCUUGAGCAGCAAGUAGAUCUGAAUGUGAUUGCUAACAGAUUCCUUGCUUUGACACUUCAUGCUCACUUGGUGGCAGCUGCAUAAAGCUUGUUGGGGUGUUUUGACCAACACAGAGAGGAGUUCUUAGUGGUGAUUUCAGUGGAAUAGAUACCAAAGGGGUUGUCCUGACUAUUAGCUUCUCCACUGGCAAGAUGUACAUCCAUUAGGGUAGCCCGAGAUUUUUAUGGGAGGGUCUACAAAACUUAUAAUCUUCUACCAUAGGUAAAAGAGAAGGGCCCAUAUUUCUUGCCUUAUACUAGAAGAAUGUCAUUGUGUUUGACCUGCCUGAUGUCUAAAAUACCUGCAUACUCAGUUCAGGCUCUUCUAUAAAGGCCUUGAUUCUCACAGUUUCCACCAGGAGUAGAGCUUUUACCCCCCCCCCAAUAACUGUUUGAAAACAUGUUUUGUGUUAAUGAAAUGUCUAAUUUCAAAUAUAGGGAAACAGUAAUAAUGACAGCCAGUGCAUGUCAGCUUCUACUGGUAGACGUGACAGAGCAACCCCUAGGUUAGUGUAAUAGUCUGUUUCAGGCACUACAUAGGGGAGGAGAGAGAAUCCUAGAACUGUAGAGUUGGAAGGAACCCUGUGGGUCAUAAGCCCCCUCCUCUCUGGUCCUUUGUGUUUUUUCCUUGUUUUUCCGCAUCAGUUAUCUGAAGCAGCAGUGUUACACAAUGAACAAACUGACAGGUGCUUCCUACAAUCUAGCAUUGGUUCCAUCAGGCUGACACUGUACUUUGCACAGAUGUGUGAACCACUGCUGGGUGCCGCCCAAUGUACUUAAAUAAAGUUGUUAAUAUACAA